rnacentral:rRNA from 1 species
GACAGAGGUGCCGAGCGUUAGGCGGAAUCACUGGGCUUAAAGCGUGUGUAGGCGGAUCGUUAAGUACCUUGUGAAAUCCCACGGCUCAACCGUGGAACGGCUGGGUAUACUGGCGAUCUUGGGCCACCUAGGGGCAGAUGGAACAGACGGUGGAGCGGUGAAAUGCGUAGAUAUCGUCUGGAACGCCAAAGGUGAAGACAGUCUGCUGGGGGUGUGCCGACGCUGAGACACGAAAGCCAGGGGAGCGAACGGG